rnacentral:tRNA from 1 species
GCGCUGUUAGCUCAGUUGGAUAGAGUACAUGACUACGAAUCAUGGGGUCAGGGGUUCGAAUCCCUUACAGCGCACCA